rnacentral:rRNA from 1 species
CCUACGGGAGGCAGCAGUGGGGAAUUUUGGACAAUGGGCGCAAGCCUGAUCCAGCAAUGCCGCGUGCAGGAUGAAGGCCUUCGGGUUGUAAACUGCUUUUGUACGGAACGAAACGGCUCCUAUUAAUACUGGGGGCUAAUGACGGUACCGUAAGAAUAAGCACCGGCUAACUACGUGCCAGCAGCCGCGGUAAUACGUAGGGUGCGAGCGUUAAUCGGAAUUACUGGGCGUAAAGCGUGCGCAGGCGGUUAUAUAAGACAGAUGUGAAAUCCCCGGGCUCAACCUGGGACCUGCAUUUGUGACUGUAUAGCUAGAGUACGGUAGAGGGGGAUGGAAUUCCGCGUGUAGCAGUGAAAUGCGUAGAUAUGCGGAGGAACACCGAUGGCGAAGGCAAUCCCCUGGACCUGUACUGACGCUCAUGCACGAAAGCGUGGGGAGCAAACAGGAUUAGAUACCCUGGUAGUCCACGCCCUAAACGAUGUCAACUGGUUGUUGGGUCUUCACUGACUCAGUAACGAAGCUAACGCGNGAGUGACGCGNGGNGCGGCGCGAGUAGAACGACAAGAGUAGUAGCGNGNGAGAGCGACGACGACGACGAGGAGGGAGGAG